AGCGACCCUCCCAGCUCAGCCUCCCAAGUAGAUGGGACUACAGUGAAAGCACAUGUAUAUUACAGUGCACAUCUAUCGGCAUCUUCCAUGAGGUCAGGAUAUUUCUGAAGCCCGUCUGGUUGUACCACUGCAAGAGCCUGGGAGUACAACACAGUGCAUUUUCCUAGAGGGCCAACUUACUUAGUGAUGAUCAGAAGAAGCUGAAAUAGAAGCCCACGAGGGUGAAAGUCAGGGAUUUCCAAAAACAAUCUUGGAAGUCGAAAGCACCGGGUACUUCAGAAUGUAAGAAUGAAAGGACAUAUUUCCAGACUGAAUGAACCCCACGAACUACUCAGCAUCCCACGUUAAAGUAGACUCAUGCAGAAGUACAUCAUCAUGAAAUUUUGGAACACUGCGAACAUGCAGACCCUAGAAGCAUCCUGAUUUUUUAAAAAACUCACAUACAAAGGAUUGAAAAUCAGAAUAUUGUCAGACUUCUUAAAGCAAGUUAAACUGCAGAACAAUGGAGCAAUGUCUUCAAAGUUCUCAGAGAAGAUUGUUUCCAACCUCUAAUCUGUACCCUAACAACUAAUAAAGUGUGAAGUUAGAAUAAGGACAGUUUCAGGCAAACAAGAUCCCAGCAAAUUUACAUUCUAUGCAUCAUUUCUCAGAAAGCUAAAGGAGGAUGUGUUCAUUAAGUAAAGAGUAAACUAAGAAAGGGCAAGAUAUGGAAUCCAAGGAACAGGGACCUCACUCAAGAGAGUCAAAGGGAAUUCCCUGGAUGACAGCAAAAGAAGAUUCCCAAGGCAACAGCUGUGUUGCAUCCUUGAAUGUAACUGGCCCAGACUGAAGAGGAGGACAGAACCUCCAGGAGGAAAGGAGGAAGUAAUAUGUGUAAAAUUGACAUAAUCUUCAAUAUGUUUGAUGUUUUGAGUGGAGAUUAUAAUUCUUUAAUAAAAUUUAGAAUGCAUUAAUUAAAACUAUCAAAUGGGAAAAAAUAAGAUGGUUAUUAAUUCCAGGGAACAUAUAACAUUAUACAAGAAAGGAAUAUAAUUAACAGAGUACUUGGCUCAGAUAAAUAAGUUUUGCAUAGACAAAAUAAUGUAAGCCGCAAUAGUAAUCUCUCUGAAAAUAUGGUGAUGUGGUUUGGCUGUGUCCCUACUCAAAUCUCAUCUUGAAUUGUAACUCCCAUAAUUUU
rnacentral:lncRNA from 1 species